UACGUAGGGUGCAAGCGUUACUCGGAAUUACUGGGCGUAAAGCGUGCGCAGGCGGUUUGGUAAGACAGAUGUGAAAUCCCCGGGCUUAACCUGGGAAUUGCAUUUGUGACUGCCCGGCUAGAGUUUGGCAGAGGGGGGUAGAAUUCCACGUGUAGCAGUGAAAUGCGUAGAUAUGUGGAGGAAUACCGAUGGCGAAGGCAGCCCCCUGGGUCAAGACUGACGCUCAUGCACGAAAGCGUGGGGAGCAAACAGG
rnacentral:rRNA from 1 species